rnacentral:rRNA from 1 species
AGAGUUUGAUCCUGGCUCAGGAUGAACGCUGGCGGCGUGCUUAACACAUGCAAGUCGAACGAGAAUCCGGGGAAGGAGGCUUCGGCCAACGGAACUGGAGGAAAGUGGCGGACGGGUGAGUAACGCGUGAGUAACCUGCCUUGGAGAGGGGAAUAACACAUCGAAAGAUGUGCUAAUACCGCAUGAAAUGUCUGAAUCGCAUGGUUCUGGACAUCAAAGAUUUAUCGCUCUGAGAUGGACUCGCGUCUGAUUAGCUGGUUGGCGGGGUAACGGCCCACCAAGGCGACGAUCAGUAGCCGGACUGAGAGGUUGGCCGGCCACAUUGGGACUGAGACACGGCCCAGACUCCUACGGGAGGCAGCAGUGGGGAAUAUUGGGCAAUGGGCGCAAGCCUGACCCAGCAACGCCGCGUGAAGGAAGAAGGCCUUCGGGUUGUAAACUUCUUUUCUAUAGGACGAAGAAGUGACGGUACUAUAGGAAUAAGCCACGGCUAACUACGUG